rnacentral:rRNA from 1 species
UACGAAGGGGGCUAGCGUUGCUCGGAAUCACUGGGCGUAAAGGGUGCGUAGGCGGGUCUUUAAGUCAGGGGUGAAAUCCUGGAGCUCAACUCCAGAACUGCCUUUGAUACUGAAGAUCUUGAGUUCGGGAGAGGUGAGUGGAACUGCGAGUGUAGAGGUGAAAUUCGUAGAUAUUCGCAAGAACACCAGUGGCGAAGGCGGCUCGCUGGGCCGGUCCUGACACUGAGGCGCGAAGGCGUGGGGAGCGAACGGG